AGCGGCGGAAGGGAGAGGAUAAGGUAGAAAUCUACCCUCGGGACGGGGAUAGCUGCGGGAAACUGCUGGUAAUACCCGAUAAUAUCUUUGGAUCAAAGGUGUGAUUCCGCCUGGGGAUGAGUCUACUUCCUAUUAGCUAGUUGGCAGGGUAAUGGCCUACCAAGGCAACGAUGGGUAGCGGGUGUGAGAGCAUGACCCGCCUCACUGGGACUGAGAACUGCCCAGACACCUACGGGUGGCUGCAGUCGAGAAUCUUCGGCAAUGGGCGCAAGCCUGACCGAGCGACGCCGCGUGCGGGAUGAAGGCCUUCGGGUUGUAAACCGCUGUCGUAGGGGAACAAAUGUAAGGGGGUUCUCCCUUUUACUUGAGUGAUCCUAGGAGGAAGGGGAGGCUAAGCUCGUGCCAGCAGCCGCGGUAAGACGAGCUCCCCGAACGUUAUUCGGUAUUACUGGGCUUAAAGAGUUCGUAGGCGGCCCGACAGGUGAGGUGUGAAAUCCCUCGGCUCAACCGAGGAACUGCGCUUCAAACCGUCAGGCUUGAGGGAGAUAGAGGUGAGCGGAACAGAUGGUGGAGCGGUGAAAUGCGUUGAUAUCAUCUGGAACACCGGUGGCGAAAGCGGCUCACUGGAUCUUUUCUGACGCUGAGGAACGAAAGCUAGGGUAGCGAACGGGAUUAGAUACCCCGGUAGUCCUAGCCGUAAACGAUGAGCACUAGC
rnacentral:rRNA from 1 species